AGUGAACGCUGGCGGUAGGCCUAACACAUGCAAGUCGAACGGCAGCACAGUAAGAGCUUGCUCUUACGGGUGGCGAGUGGCGGACGGGUGAGGAAUACAUCGGAAUCUACUUUUUCGUGGGGGAUAACGUAGGGAAACUUACGCUAAUACCGCAUACGACCUACGGGUGAAAGCAGGGGAUCUUCGGACCUUGCGCGAUUGAAUGAGCCGAUGUCGGAUUAGCUAGUUGGCGGGGUGAAGGCCCACCAAGGCGACGAUCCGUAGCUGGUCUGAGAGGAUGAUCAGCAACACUGGAACUGAGACACGGUCCAGACUCCUACGGGAGGCAGCAGUGGGGAAUAUUGGACAAUGGGCGCAAGCCUGAUCCAGCCAUACCGCGUGGGUGAAGAAGGCCUUCGGGUUGUAAAGCCCUUUUGUUGGGAAAAAAAAGCAGCAGGUUAAUACCCCGCUGUUCUGACGGUACCCAAAGAAUAAGCACCGGCUAACUUCGUG
rnacentral:rRNA from 1 species